rnacentral:tRNA from 1 species
GGGCGUUUGGCUCAGUUGGAUAGAGCGACGGCCUCCGGAGCCGUAGGUCACAGGUUCGAGCCCUGUAACGCCCG